rnacentral:rRNA from 1 species
CCUACGUGUGGCAGCAGUGGGGAAUAUUGGACAAUGGGCGAAAGCCUGAUCCAGCCAUGCCGCGUGUGUGAAGAAGGCCUUCGGGUUGUAAAGCACUUUCAGUGGGGAAGAAAGCCUUGGGGCUAAUACCCUCGAGGAAGGACAUCACCCACAGAAGAAGCACCGGCUAACUCCGUGCCAGCAGCCGCGGUAAUACGGAGGGUGCGAGCGUUAAUCGGAAUUACUGGGCGUAAAGCGCGCGUAGGCGGUCUGAUAAGCCGGUUGUGAAAGCCCCGGGCUCAACCUGGGAACGGCAUCCGGAACUGUCAGGCUAGAGUGCAGGAGAGGAAGGUAGAAUUCCCGGUGUAGCGGUGAAAUGCGUAGAGAUCGGGAGGAAUACCAGUGGCGAAGGCGGCCUUCUGGACUGACACUGACGCUGAGGUGCGAAAGCAUGGGUAGCAAACAGGAUUAGAUACCCUGGUAGUC